GGUGAACGCUGGCGGCGUGCCUAAGACAUGCAAGUCGAGCGGGGCAGGUUUAUACCUGUUCAGCGGCGGACGGGUGAGUACCGCGUGGGUGACCUACCCGGAAGAGGCGGACAACCUGGGGAAACCCAGGCUAAUCCGCCAUGUGGUCCUGUCCUGUGGGGCAGGACUAAAGGGUGGAUAGCCCGCUUCCGGAUGGGCCCGCGUCCCAUCAGCUAGUUGGUGGGGUAAAGGCCCACCAAGGCGACGACGGGUAGCCGGUCUGAGAGGAUGGCCGGCCACAGGGGCACUGGGACACGGGCGCCACUCCUACGGGAGGCAGCAGUUAGGAAGCUGCCGCAAUGGACGGAAGUCGGACGGAGCGACGCCGCUGGGAGGAGGAAGCCCUUCGGGGUGUAAACUCAUGAACUGGGGACGAAAGCCCUGUGUAGGGGGAUGACGGUACCCAGGUAAUAGCGCCGGCCAACUCCGUG
rnacentral:rRNA from 1 species